rnacentral:misc_RNA from 1 species
AUGAGCACAAACACCACUUUCAGCGAUAACACCGUGUUGCGAAUAUUCACCAAUGAGUCCUUUCAAUCGGACGAUGUUCGUGUCGCGGCUGGAGUGAUCAAAUCGUCAGCAGAGUACCUCCGACUGUUUACUGAGGAGGCUAUUGCCCUGGCCAUCAGACAGAAAGAAGAGACCGGAGAGACAGUUGACUCACGUGAUCUUGAUCGAGUCAAGGAGGAGUUGAGAGAUGGCUUCUGAUAGCGAUUCCGUCACUUCUGAAUGUGUGUCCUGCACCGUGACUCGACCGUGCUCGAAGAACUUGUUAUGAGUCUGCGACGAUUGUUACUUGCGUAAUGACGCUCACACAGCCACCCUACAGUAGAGAAUUACUGGUGCAAUCCGAAGACAACAGCAACUCCUGGAGGACCUUUUGGACAGACGCCGCUGUGACUUUCAUCCCAGUUCAUCUGGAUAGGAAUAGCAUUGCCUUACCAGAUGCCGGUCUUGAAGGGAUACGUGUGUGGAAAGUUAUGUUCGCUUCUUGCCUGGAUAAAUGUCUUUGCAGAGAGACGAAACGAUUUGCUAGUGUGGCGUUUAUCUCUUUUCCCGCCAUGAUCCUCCAUUAAAUGCAUGUCAACCAGCUCACACGGCACUGAUGUGUCAACCAGCUAAUAUAUCCAAUUGGAUCAUCG